GAUGAACGCUGGCGGCGUGCCUAAUACAUGCAAGUCGAGCGAACAGAUGAGGAGCUUGCUCCUCUGACGUUAGCGGCGGACGGGUGAGUAACACGUGGAUAACCUACCUAUAAGACUGGGAUAACUUCGGGAAACCGGAUCUAAUACCGGAUAAUAUAUUGAACCGCAUGGUUCAAUAGUGAAAGACGGUUUUGCUGUCACUUAUAGAUGGAUCCGCGCCGCAUUAGCUAGUUGGUAAGGUAACGGCUUAUCAAGGCGACGAUGCGUAGCCGACCUGAGAGGGUGAUCGGCCACACUGGAACUGAGACACGGUCCAGACUCCUACGGGAGGCAGCAGUAGGGAAUCUUCCGCAAUGGGCGAAAGCCUGACGGAGCAACGCCGCGUGAGUGAUGAAGGUCUUCGGAUCGUAAAACUCUGUUAUUAGGGAAGAACAAAUGUGUAAGUAACUAUGCACGUCUUGACGGUACCUAAUCAGAAAGCCACGGCUAACUACGUG
rnacentral:rRNA from 1 species